rnacentral:lncRNA from 1 species
GGCUUUGCCGCUUUUUGAUAAGUACAAAUGGGUCAUGUUUAAGAAAAUUUAGAUCAUGUUGGAUUAUUUAUUUCCUCUAUCACAUGCUCUCAAGAAUGAGAAGUACCUUAAUGAUUGAAUGAUAUUUUUGAAGCUGAAUAUCUAUUCUAUUCGUCAUAAAGAAAGAUGGGUACACACAAAUUUUAAAAUUAUAUAAUACUCCUAAUAUUGAAAUCGCUUGUAAACAACUUAUUGUAUUCAACGUUCCAAAACUAGGCGUAACAACAUAAAAUCUUGCCAUAAAUCAACUAGAGUAGGAAAAGAACAAAGUCACUCGUUCAGAUUUUAGGGACUCUGCUACAUCUUUGAGCAUUUCCUUCAGUUCACCAUUCUGUACCAAAAGCAAAUUUAUUCUCCGGAUAAACAAGCUGUCAUGAAAAAGGUAUUAGAAGUUUGCCUCAUGCAUACUGAAAAUGAUGUCUGAUCCUCCAACUAAAUAUACUUUGUCAUAAAGCUUAAGAAAAUUUGGAGCAGAAAGAACUAUUUAAAUGAGAAUACUUAUUCACCAAGCAUUAGCUUAUGUACCUCAAAAAAAUCUUUUCCCAGUUGGUGUAUCCAGAAUACAAUAGAUUUUUUUCUGUAGCAUUUCUUUGAAAUUUUUCCCGACCAGUUAACAAAAAUAUUGAAUCCCCAUCUCUUCAAGCUCCCUGUACAAUCUCAAACUUGCAGGUAGGGCAGGGGCCUCAACCAAUCCCACAUAAUCAUUAAAAGAUAUGAUGCAGUCAAUUAAAAUACAUUGCAAUCAUUGGCAAACACAAGGCCUUAACAGCUUCAAAUUGAUGCUAGCAAAUUAAAAUCCACAACUAGAAUACCGAAUUUCACAAAUUAACAUCCACAUGACAUGAGUACCAUGACUUCGUUACACAAUUAUAUAAAAUAUUGUUGCACCUUCAUUGCCGAGAGAAUCUCUACAUAAAAGCCAAAAUAACACUCAUCAUUUAAAAAUUGAGUGACUACAUAUGCUCCCAGAAUUUAUUUUCAACACAGCUACCUUUGGUUUACAACUCUCAGUAAUCCUUUACUGUUAUUAAUUUUCUUAAUCCCCCAAAUGUUAGGGGAGAGUAAGUUCUAUAAAAAAAUGUUAGGGGACAAAUAGCAACAAAAAUUUAGAAUUUACUUUCCCUAACAUUUUGGAAAUUAAGAAAAUUAAUAAAAAUGUUUGGAGGGAUCCUUAAUUAUUAUUCAAUAAAUAUUCUUUUUUUACAAUUACAAUUAUUAUUCAGUAAUUAUUAAUUAGUAAAUAUUCUCUUUUUACAAUUAUUAUUCAGGUGUUCCUGUACAAAUAUGUCUUAACCAUAUGUCCAUAACAACAAAAGAAUUAACGAAAGCUAGAAAAAUCUCAAAUUUAUUAAAGGUCUACAAUAAAUCUAACUGUCGAUAUUUACUAUAAUCAAUAUCAACAAUUAGACAUACACCGGUUGAAGCAGAACAUGUUUAAUCAAAACCCACGCACAUCCAGAAAACGAUUAAUAGCACGAUCAGGUUGUGUGUUUUCAAUUCCCUUCUAAUAAAAUACUAAAUACUGGAUAUCAUUUUCUAUUAUUUAAUAAUUACCUUCUUAUAUGAGUCUGCCUAUGUCAAACUGUUCUUCUCCCCCAAAGAAAUUCUAGGGUUUACACAGCGCUCCAACGAAUCGAUAGAAUCUGAAAGAUAAAUACAGCUACCUCAUGUAUAUACGACUCAACUUUUACAGAUCUUUGAGGCUAGAUUCAAUUCAGUUUCUGGAUGUUGUUGUGUUAAUUCGUUAGAUUUGACUGAGAGAUAGAGAAGAGGUAGAGAGAGAUAGAGAAGAGUUGAGGAUGGGUUUUUUGUGGUUUAUAUAGAUGACCCAUUUUUUGAGACCCGCGUUAUUUUUUUUAAGUUCGCUUUUGGUCCGUGU